rnacentral:rRNA from 1 species
UACGUAGGGUGCGAGCGUUAAUCGGAAUUACUGGGCGUAAAGCGUGCGCAGGCGGUUUUGUAAGCCAGAUGUGAAAGCCCCGGGCUUAACCUGGGAAUGGCAUUUGGGACUGCAAGGCUAGAGUGUGGCAGAGGAGACUGGAAUUCCUGGUGUAGCAGUGAAAUGCGUAGAUAUCAGGAGGAAUACCGAUGGCGAAGGCAGGUCUCUGGGCUGACACUGACGCUCAUGCACGAAAGCGUGGGGAGCAAACAGG